GACAGAGGUGCCAAGCGUUAGGCGGAAUCACUGGGCUUAAAGCGUGUGUAGGCGGAAUGGUAAGUACCUUGUGAAAUCCCACGGCUCAACCGUGGAACUGCUGGGUAUACUGCUUUUCUUGAGCCACUUAGGGGCUGUCGGAACAAACGGCGGAGCGGUGAAAUGCGUAGAUAUCGUUUGGAACGCCAAUGGUGAAAACAGACAGCUGGGAGUGUGCUGACGCUGAGACACGAAAGCCAGGGGAGCGAACGGG
rnacentral:rRNA from 1 species